UUGAACGCUGGCGGCAGGCCUAACACAUGCAAGUCGAGCGGAUGAAGGGAGCUUGCUCCUGGAUUCAGCGGCGGACGGGUGAGUAAUGCCUAGGAAUCUGCCUGGUAGUGGGGGAUAACGUCCGGAAACGGGCGCUAAUACCGCAUACGUUCUGAGGGAGAAAGUGGGGGAUCUUCGGACCUCACGCUAUCAGAUAAGCCUAGGUCGGAUUAGCUAGUUGGUGGGGUAAAGGCCUACCAAGGCGACGAUCCGUAACUGGUCUGAGAGGAUGAUCAGUCACACUGGAACUGAGACACGGUCCAGACUCCUACGGGAGGCAGCAGUGGGGAAUAUUGGACAAAGGGCAAAAGCCUGAUCCAGCCAUGCCGCGUGUGUGAAGAAGGUCUUCGGAUUGUAAAGCACUUUAAGUUGGGAGGAAGGGCAGUAAGUUAAUACCUUGCUGUUUUGACGUUACCAACAGAAUAAGCACCGGCUAACUUCGUG
rnacentral:rRNA from 1 species